UAAUAAAAAAAGUAGUAGGCAUGGAAUUAAUUGGAUGUCCCAUAGGAAAAUGAGAAUCUAAAAUCUUGACAUUAUAUAAAUGACCAGUAUUAUUUAAUAAGUUCAUACUUAAUAAUUAAUGUUGUAGAUAGACUAGCAGAUAGAUCCUGAUAAAGGCCUGCAUAAAAGAUAAAAGGCAUGCAGAAAAUAAAAGAUAAAAAGAAGGCCUGCAAAAAACACGAGCCAGCAAACACAAUGCUAGCUAGCUGCAACAUAUUUAUACUGGGAAGGGAUCUCAUAUAUAUAUCCAAUAAAUUGAUACUCAAAAUGACGUAUACUAUACCCGUAUAAUUGCCUUCAGAUAGCAUCUCAAUUUGUUACUAUUAUUUUAAGUACUAUCUCAAAUAUUGUUAGUGCUAUUUGGUUGUGUCAAUACUCUAAGGCUAUAGUCCGUCGCAAAAAAAAAAUGCUCUAAGGCUAUGUCUUUGAUAGUCUCUCUUCUAUUGUGUCAUUUCAAAAAAAAAAAAGUCAAGUCGGUAGCUUAUAGAUCCAUGAAAGAUGAAACCUUUAUGAUCUUAGGGCGUCUCCAACAAGCUAUCAAAUAGCUACCUGAUAUUAUUUUUUAGAUGGCGAGGAAGAGAAAGAAUGUAAAAAAUGAAGUUGCUAGUGACGAGUGAAUAGAUAGAAUUAUAUAGCUUUUGAUAACAUCUCUUUCUAUAUCUCUUUUCUUCAGAACUCCAUCACAUAUUCAUGUCAGCUGGCGAUUUUGCACAUCUCGGUGGUACUAUUUUUAGUUCCAUCACGUAUUCAUGUCAGCUGGCAAUUUUGCUAGUACUGUGGACGCUCUUAGUGGGGUGUUUUACUCUCAUUUAAAACUAUGACACAUCGGUAAUUUUGCUUGGUUGCCAUGUUGUUUGAGGGAAGAGAAAAAUAGAGUUUCAUUAAGAUGAAACUCAUCUAUCACGUUUAUCAGCACAAUAAAAUGCAAAGAAACAUAAACCGAGAUCAAUUUGUUUCAUUUUGAGGAUCUUCUUCACGAGAUAAGCAAAGAAUUAUAUGCAAUUGCAAGGCUCUAUGUUUCAUAUGCCACAAUUGAUCAUAAGAGCAUAUCACAAUUAAAUGAUGUAGCUAGCCUAUAUGAAACUGUGUGCUGAGAUAGAUUAUUUCAUCACUUGUAAAACUGAUUCAGCAGUCUUGAUAACUUUUUUUUACAUUAAUAGUCUUGGCAACUGACUAUCUGUGCAUUGAAAUUCUGCACAAAAAUAUAUAAGUCCAUAAUGAUUAACAAAAAUGAGUCCAUAAAUAUUCAAAAUAAACACCAUA
rnacentral:lncRNA from 1 species